CAACCUGCCCAGAUGAGUCCUCUGCCUGCUGAGGCAUAAGGAGCCCAGUCUCUCUCCUCACUCACUCAGCUGCCUGUGCAGCUGUGGCUGCCACUCACCCUGUGGAAUAACUUUUUCAGUUUCUAACACGGGAGAGAGAGGGGCAGUUCGUCCACGCGUCUGCUUGCUUGGUUAAUUUCGAUCACAUAUUAAUUGCUCUGGUUGGAGAUCAGGGAAGCAAACAAGCCAAGCUCUUAAUUCUCCUUUGCUCUAACUCUAACACGUUACGUUUCUACAAUCUUACUUCUCAACAGAAAUGUUUUCUUGUGACCAUUUCCCCACCUUCCCACCAUCGCAGGAUACACAGAACUACAGUUCACAAAUAUUAGCCUUGGUGGCCUUUGCAUCAGAGAGUUCCCAGGGAGGUGACAGGUUACUCCUUCCUUGAGGGCAUCCCUUCCAGGGAGAACUGAUGUCUUUCAAGUCUUCGGGAGCCUUCACUGUUCCCCUUAUGUAACAAAAUCACAUUUAAGAGUAAACAGUUUACCAACAGAGCCAUUCCCAUAUGUCUGUAAUGGAAACAAAACCAAGCAACCAAGCAACCAAGCAACCAAGUAACCAAGCAACCAACCAACCAACCAACCAGCCAACCAACCAACCAGCCAACCAACCAACUAACCAGCCAAUCAACCAACCAGCCAACCAACCAGCCAACCAAACCCCAAAACCCCUGAUAUCAAACUCCCUAUGACUACACAGUGUGAAACAACCACAACGGAGGCAGAAGACAAAUGACCAUUGCUUUCAACAUUCCGUAGACAGGGAGAGCUUCCGACCUGGAGAUCUGGCCCCAGCCUAAUUAUCAACAAUUUGGUGAUAAGAUUCUGUUCCAGCCUCAUAAAGUCCUCAGAGUCAACCUCGUGGGCACACUUCCUCUCAUGGGGGCUUUCAAGGCGGGACUGAAGACAAGCCUUUCCUUGAGUCUGCUGCAGCUGGAGAAAAGAAGCUUCAGAGACGACAACCCUGCCAGCCGAAGAAGCCCUUGUCGCUCCUUUGCUUUGGACAGUGACAACUGAUGAUCAAGUUCUACAAAAGAAGCAUGUUUCAGGCUGGGGAUGGCACAGAGUUUAAGAACACUUCCUGCUCUUGCGAAGGACCCAGGUUUCAUUCCCAGUGGCUACGUCAUGUGGCUUACUACUGCCUAUUUCUCCACCUCCUGGAGAUCUGACAGCUUCUUCUGGCCUCCACUGGUGUCUGUAUGCACAUGCACACACAUACAUAUAAAUAAAAACAAGACAAAUUAAAAACAAAA